CAACUGAUCCCACGCCAACUCAUUCUACUGGCUUUCCUUUAGAACAGGCUAUUCUUCUAUCUAUUACUUCAAGCUAGAGCACCAACCCAACAACCUCUAUAGGAUUAUGACUACUCGGUUAAGCCAUUAACUACUCGGCAUCGCAGCUGACGCUGCCCUCGCCUCUAAAGUCACUUAUUUUAUUGUCUUCCCCCACCUCUCCUAUGAAAUGCGUGAUUGCGGGAAGUCCACUCUAUGAAUACUAGAUGGUUGAUCAAGAGCACUAGGUUGUUAUAGAGCAGCCGAACCCCUACCCUAUACAAUAUACAAUAAGGACAGAGAGGCACCGCACCUAUACAAUAAGUACAGAUAAGAUAGGCGAGGAAAUUCAGCAACUAUUAACACUUACUGCCCGGUCCCACUCUUUCAUUUAUAGCCCGGUCAACCCUGCCACUAAUGGAUUGAUUCGAUCCCGAUGUAAUUGACAAUAGUACGAAAAGCAACCCGACCUACCUGCAGUAGUCCUUUCUUAACCCUACCCACCUGUAGACAAAGUCAGCAGCAAUGAUAGUCUUCUCGAACAGAAACAAGCAAAUAAGCCUUUCUUUGAUGCCCCUAGCCCAGACAUGACAACGAGAAUUCUUUCUGAUAUAAGAAAUCAAUAAAUCAAGAAAGAAAGUAGAGAUGCGGAAUAAGAUCUGAUGCCGGGUAGACUCAGAACCAAACCACUAGGGCAAAGAAUCAAACCCGUGCUAACCAGACUGACCUUGCCCACCGAGUUCACAGAGCCAGAGAGUAGCCAGCUGGGUAGGCCUCGGGAAGCUAUUCAAGUUUAGUUCGGGUUAGUAUCCAGAGGAUAGAGAGUAAAGGGUCCAUGUUCUUAAUAAUAAAUGCACUAGAACAGCUGUUACACACCUCUUAUGGGAAAUACUGAGAAAGACAUAUAUCGAAGCGAAAUAAUACAUUUCAAGCCUAUAUCUUGAGGUUCGGUAACUACCCUUCUUGUGCUAGUGCUCUCAAGUAGGAAAGUCGGAAUGGAACUCAGCA
rnacentral:lncRNA from 1 species